AGUCCUUCGUUGUAAGAAUGUAGAUGCCGGUUGCACCUUCUGUUGUCUUGGAAGAGACUGCAGUGCUUGGCUGGAAAAUAAGCUGCUCGGGACUCCUCUGAGAAGCCAAAGUGAAGCUCAGAGAUGGAAGCUCUGCCGACUUCCAGUUCUGGAACAAGAUGGUUAAACUCAUUUUUCCCUGCUCUGCUCCUCUAAAUACAACUAAGUACCUUGGAAACUAUUCAGCAGACAAUGAUAAAGGGCUCUGAAAGCUAGAAGAAAAGGUGUACUUGCAAGAAACCUCAGGACUUGAGUAACAGCAACAUGGCAGGCCAGAAAGCAGACCCAGGGAGGAUAGCACAUGUCUUCGGCUACACUGGUGAAGGCAUCGUGCCUGCUCCACAGCACAUUUUUAUUCAAGAACAAUCCAUUUCACAGAUGAAGAAACAGACUCAGUGAGCACGUGAUCACUUCUCACAACUAAUGGAGCCAAGAUUCUGUCCUUAUGGCUCCAGAGACCUCUUUUUUUUCCCACUGUACCACAACACUCACCAGGACUGGAGUGCCACCUAUGACCUCAUUGCAUAAUGGAUGGCUUGUCCUCAAAUGGGCCCGGUCUUGGACGAGCCUGAGGAUGUCUACAAGUGGAAGAAAAGAAGCCACUGGAGCAGAAGGUGGGGAGGAUAAAAUUUGGAGCAAGAUUCUCAAGGAAGCAACAAGAUCCUAAGCUCACCAAGCUCCUGUAUCUACUGGAAAAUGGAAGUCCAGCCUUACCAACUUGUGAACCUUGUCUGAAGGGAGCCAGGGCCUGCCAAUGGAACCACCUCCAGGAGCUGCAACUGCUGUUGUCAUUAAUACCAUUGUGUCUAUUUUUUGAGAGAGAUAAACUUUUCAUGGUGUUACAUUUUGGAAAAAAAAAAAAAA
rnacentral:lncRNA from 1 species